rnacentral:misc_RNA from 1 species
AAAUAUGGUCUUGGGUUAAAAGAUGUUUUCUUCUCUUCUGAAUCUUUUUGUAUAAAUCUCACAGUAACAGCCAAAAUCUUUGACAACAGAAAGAAUCUACUUGAUCCCUGCUCCACCUUUAGGAUUGAAAAAACAAGUUUUGAAUAUAUAUCAAUGGCUAGGAAGGACAAAUUCUGCCCUUGCUGAGUUGAUUGCAGGGCACUAGAAUUAAUCACCUCAGAAGAUAAGCAAUGUGCAACAGAGACUUCCGUAAGAAUUUGGAAAAAGUGAUCUGUCAUGUCAUCCCCCUUCAAUAGUCCAUUUUGAUGCAAUUGUAAGAUAAAAUGAGUACAAGCAGCAUCAUUUGCACCUGGAAGUUCGCAAAUCCGGUACCAUUCCACAAACAGCAUGGAAACCUUCUCACGCAAAUCAGCAGGAUCUGGUUCCACAGAUUCAGCAUUGCUAUAGUCUUCCCUGUUAGCAAUAGGCUCAUUCACAGCCUUUUUAUCUCUAUAUUGUCUAGUCUUAUCCUCUUUUCCCACAGUAAAACCAG